CCUACGGGAGGCAGCAGUGGGGAAUAUUGGGCAAUGGAGGAAACUCUGACCCAGCAACGCCGCGUGAAUGAUGAAGGUCUUCGGAUUGUAAAGUUCUUUUCUAAGGGAAGAAGAAAGUGACGGUACCUUAGGAAUAAGCCUCGGCUAACUACGGGCCAGCAGCCGCGGUAAUACGUAGGAGGUAAUCGUUAUUCGGAAUGACUGGACGUAAAGGGUGAGUAGGUGGUUUGACAAGUUGGUAGCGUAACUCCGGGGCUCAACCCCGGCACGACUACCAAAACUGUCGGACUUGAGGGCAGGAGGGGCAAAUGGAAUUCCUAGUGUAGCGGUGGAAUGCGUAGAGAUUAGGAGGAACACCAGGGGCGAAGGCGAUUUGCUGGACAGUAACUGACACUGAGGCACGAAAGCGUGGGGAGCAAAAAGGAUUAGAUACCCUUGUAGUC
rnacentral:rRNA from 1 species